rnacentral:lncRNA from 1 species
GUGGACCCCGCAUUUCGGCUCAUGCGUUUCCCACUCGAUGGCGAGCUCGAUUUUUAUCUCGAAAAAUUGAUUUUUAUUUGAUUAAGAAAAUGACUUGGAGUCGCCACUUAUUUUUGUUUUAUUUUUAAAGGGUAAACAAAAUAAGAAAGAAAAACCCUAAGUGUGACUCCUUGUUUUGGUAAAGGUGGUCUGUGAAAAAACCGGAUUGGGUUCGGGAGUCAGGUUACUUAUCGGGAAGGUACGGUAGAGACCGUAGCACCCCUCUAAGUCCCUAAAGUCGGGUCUCUACUAAUAAAGUGAAACCGACGUGGCAAUCAAAUAAGAAAGUCAAUGGAUACUCACAUCAAUCAUGCAUAUAUGAGAAUCAGAAUAUGUAUAGUGAAUGAUCAGAAUGAGUGAACGCGUACCUGGGCAGCAAACAGCAACGAGCUAUCAAGAAAUGGGAUUAGUGCACCAUCAAUGAAUACAAAACAUAGCUCUUACAUAUCGGAGUGCAAAGCGAAGCUCAAGCCAAAAUACAGUAAGCACGAUAAUUGACAGUCAAAAGGGGUCAAACAUAGGGCCCCCCAACAAAGCCCGAUUUAUUGUUCAUGGGCUAAUCCCACAAAUCCCGUGUUUUGGAAUUAUGAAGGAAUCACUAUUGCUUAUGUAGAGUCAAGAAGAUCAGAAGAUUAUUUAGGACUUGAAAUGUGAUUAAAACUAUU